rnacentral:rRNA from 1 species
GAAGUGAAUAAGGGCUUAUAGAGGAUACCUAGGCAUUUAGAAGCGAUGAAGGACGUGGCUACCGACGAAACGCUUAGGGGAGCUGGAAGCAAGCUUUGAUCCUGAGAUCUCCGAAUGAGGAAACUUCCUAGAACUUCUCAAGGAAUACAUACUUGAGGGUAGAGCAAACCUGGAUAAUUGAAACAUCUUAUUAACCAGAGGAAAAGAAAGUAAAAACGAUUCCCUUAGUAGCGGCGAGCGAAACGGGAUGAGCCUAAACUAAUUUACAAAUUAGGGUAGUGGGAAAACCAACAUGCAUUAAAAAUCUAAGUUAGAUCAAUCCUUCGGAAUAAGGAACCAUAGAAAGUGAUAGUCUUGUAAUCAAAAACUUAAGAAUAAUGAGGUUUUAUCCCGAGUAGCAUGGAGCACGUGAAAUUCCGUGUGAAUCUGCGAGGACCACCUCGUAAGGCUAAAUAUUCCUAAAUGACCGAUAGAGAAAGUACCGCGAGGGAAAGGUGAAAAGAACCCCGUAAGGGGAGUGAAAUAGAACAUGAAACUGUAAGCUUACAAGCAGUAGGAGGACGACUUAACGUCUGACUGCGUGCCUGUUGAAGAAUGAGCCGGCGACUUAUAAGUAAUGGCAGGUUAAUUUUAGGAGCCAUAGCGAAAGCGAGUCUGAAUAGGGCGUUUGUCGUUGCUUAUAGACCCGAACCCGGAUGAUCUAACCAUGGCCAGGUUGAAGCUUAGGUAAAAUCAAGUGGAGGACCGAACCGACUGAUGUUGAAAAAUCAGCGGAUGAGUUGUGGUUAGGGGUGAAAUGCCAAUCGAAUCCGGAGCUAGCUGGUUCUCCCCGAAAUGUGUUUAGGCGCAGCGGUUAAUGUUUAAAUUUAGGGGUAAAGCACUGUUUCGUUGCGGGCUGGUAAUACGGUACCAAUUCGAGGCAAACUAAGAAUACUAAAUUGCAUAAUUAAUCAGUAAGACCGUGGGGGAUAAGCUCCAUUGUCAAGAGGGAAACAGCCCAGACCAUCAGUUAAGGCCCCUAAAAAUUACUAAGUGCAAAAGGUGGUGGGAGUACAUAAACAACCAGGAGGUUUGCUUAGAAGCAGCAAUCCUUUAAAGAGUGCGUAAUAGCUCACUGGUCGAGUAAACCUGC